rnacentral:piRNA from 1 species
UGGCAAGCCACUCUUGCAGUUAGGACUGC